UACGAAGGGGGGCUAGCGUUGCUCGGAAUCACUGGGCGUAAAGCGCACGUAGGCGGACUCUUAAGUCGGUGGUGAAAUCCUGGAGCUCAACUCCAGAACUGCCUUCGAUACUGGAGCUCGAGUUCGGGAGAGGUGAGUGGAACUGCGAGUGUAGAGGUGAAAUUCGUAGAUAUUCGCAAGAACACCAGUGGCGAAGGCGGCUCACUGGGCCCGAUACUGACGCUGAGGUGCGAAAGCGUGGGGAGCAAACAGGG
rnacentral:rRNA from 1 species